GUAAAGCAUUUUUAUUGAGAGAUAAUAGAAUGCAGUGGAACAAAACAUUUCAAAGUGACUCAGGAUUUCCAGAGGAUGUGAAAGCCUUUAUUCAUUAAUGGAAUUAUCAGUACAAUGUACUUCGGAUGAACGAAAGCCAGAAAUACACUAGUGACCUCGUACAACCCUAUGUCGUACCAAAGCCCAAGCCAUGCAUCAAAGAAGUAGAUAACGCAUCUUUGGAUUCAACAUAUGCUGUUCCUGCUUCCCUCUGCUUGAAUAUACCCAGCCCUCCCAUGGAAACAGAUCCAGAUGAAAUCUAUGAUGUUCCACCACGAAGAAUCUGAUUCCGAGAUGCUCCUCCCAGAAAAAAGACACAAGUUUCAAGGAAGCCAGGAGAACCGUGACAAAGCUGCAGCCCAAACUGCUUCAAGGACUCUAACUGGCAGCUUAACAUUUGGACAGGAAACUGCAUGAAAGUCCUGUUAGCUGAUAACAGGGAAACUGUGUUUCAUUCUCUUUCUCGCAUUAUCUAGGGUGUGAGCUAACUUACUGUGGCUUUACACCUGGUCUGCUUUCAAUGUAUGAAAUUGAAAGCAUUGAGGCUGUGUUUUGGUAUCACAACUCCAAACAUUAAAAUGUAUGUCCACACUUGAUUAUACUGCCUUCAGCAGGGAACCAAUCUAAUAAGGAAAAAUUAAGUUAGAAAGUUAUCAGCAUGAUUGUCAGUUUACCAGAGCCAUUUUAAUUGUUUCUUUUUGUUUGAAGAUAGUUUCUGUUUUUAAUUGCAUUUUCUCUGAAAAAGGAAUUAGAAAUCUAUUUAGAAAGUUACUAUUUCAUCAAGGCUGGCAAGCAAAGUUUAUUUCAUUAGGAAAGCAAAGAGCAUACCACAAUUUAAUAUUUAAUGCAAUACACCAUGUGAAAUCUUUCUUCAAUUCUUUAAUCAAGCUGUCAUGGAUGUAGAAUAAUUGGUUUCAAAUAAUAGCAUUUCCACCUUUAAUGAAAAGAUAGAAACUAAAUAAGAUGUGGUUUUGGAAGGACGUGUUUACAGAGCCUCUUCCAUUGCAAGAAGAAUGUACGUUGCCUUCCUCUAAAACUAAAUCAUGUGAUAUUCGAUAUCCACCUGAGGGAGAGGGCCAGGCCUUUGUAAAAAAGGAUCUCGUCCUUUCCUGACAUAUGGCAAAUAAACUCUCCUCGUGCUUCCAUUCAGGUACAGAUAUCAAUUUUAAGCCAACGUUUUGAUGACAAACUCCACCAUUUUCAUGAAGAUGGCAGAGUUUUACAUCAAGAUGUUGGUUAUAAUCGAUAUCUGUACCUGACUGGAAGCUCGAGAAGAUUUUAUAAACAUUUGUAACUUUACAUGCUACCCAACAAGUAGAUGACAGCUCUAGUAGUGUGGUACUCCGUUGGUACUUCACCAAAAUACCAGCCUGAACUCAAAACUUUUUGAUUCAAAGCUAUUAAAUGCUAAUGCCAACGACAAGUACUACAGGCUCAACUCUUCAUGUCGAAUUGAGUUUAUUGUCAUGUGCACAAGUACAGUGAGGUGGAGGUACUGUGAAAAAGUUGCUUGCAGAAGAUUCAAACUCAUCUCAUGUAGAUCAAAACAAAGAGUGAAAAGUAUUGUUUGUGUUAACAACCAACACAGCUAGUGACGUGCUGGGAGUAGUCCACGAGUGUUGCCACGUAUUCUGACAACAGCAUAUCCGGCCCACAAUGCUUGGCAGAACAACAAAGAACACAACAACCAUCAAAACAACAGCAAAAAAGCUCCUUUCCUCUCAUGCACACACUGUCCUCCAAUUCCAGGACAGGUCGCCAAUCUCCAGGCUUCGGCCACUGGACUUGGACUUCACAACUUCUGAUCAACCUUUGGGCACCAGUCCCUGGUAUUGACCUCUGGGCUAACUGAUAAUGGCUUUAACAGCAUUAGAAGCACAUGGGAGCAGAGGAGCAAACGUAAAGUCACCUGUACAGUUUGUUAUUUCAGGCCAAAACUCAAGGACAACCCAAAGUUGAUGUGUGACCUGAAUAUAUCUGGAAGGCUUAUUGAGAGUGAGAAGGAGAAAGGAUUAGGAUAUGUUGAUUGUGUUGGAUGAGCAAAGACAGAAAAAGAUUGUGAGGAUAAACCUGUGGGCCAAAUGGAUUAAAAAUUACACAUUACUCACAUUGGAGUGUGUAUCAAGGAGCUACCCAAGUUAGCAUUGAACUAUGGACAUCAGUAUCAUGGAGACAGUACAGGUUAAGCAAUUUGUAAUCACUAAUCCUUUACCAGAAAUGUGAAGUUGCGUCACUUCAAGGCAAUGAUAAAAUCAAAAUUAAAUAAGCAAAAGCAAUUUGCACCUGCAAUACUAAUCCUGACAUAAUGUGUUGUAAAAAUCUGUCUGGUUCAACACCUUCCUUCAGUAGGAUAAUGGUCUUGUUUACGCAUGACUUCAGAAACGAAUGUAGUCAUAUCUCAACUGUCCUAGUAAGCAUUCAGUUCCGGAGGCAAUAGGCAUGAACGAUAAUUCUAUAAUCAAACUGCACAUACACGAUUAGCAUGAGGAAGUUAUAUUCACUACAAAACACAUCAAUGAGUCGCUGCUAGAAAGCUUAAGGGUUAAGUUCAUCAUGUUGAUGUUAUUUAUGGAACUGGCCUCCUCUUAAGAAAUGUUCUGUCUGAUUAAAAAUAUUGACAUUAAAUGCAGUUCCUAAUCAGGUUUCUGUGUCUCUGCCAUUGGCAAUGCUAAAAUGUCAGGCUUCUCAGUUGCCAGCACUUAUCUAAAUCAGAAGAGUGGCGAUUCAAGUCCCACUUUAGAGAGGUAGGGACCAACUAAAACUAGGCUGCUACCGAAAAGCAAUACUGGGUCAGUGCUGACUGCCAGAAGGGCUGAUUUCUCAAGCCAUCUGGUCUUCAAGAGAGUGUGAAACUUCACUCAAAGGUAUAUUAAAGGGAAACAGGGAAGUUAUCCCCAAUGUCAUUGUAAACAUUUAUCUUCAAAUAUCUUAAAAGCAACAUUACAAAAUGUAAUUUUCUGGCUGUGAUUACAUUGUUGUUAGAAAUUCCAGGAAUUUCUAUGAUGGAAACACAAGAUUCUGCAGAUGCUGGAAAUACUGAGCAAAAUGCACAAAAUACUGCAGGAAGUCGGGCAACAUCUAUGGACAAGAAUAAGCUAUCAAAGUUUCGGAGGGCUCUUGGCCCGAAAUGUAAACUGUUUAUUCCCCUCCAUAGAUGUUUUCUACACUGGAAAGUAUAUUUCUGAAUUACUUCAUUAAAAAUCCACAGGAUGACUAGAGGCUAUGUUACAUAAAUGUACUUUCCUUUUUGAGAGUGUUUCAUGGGGUGAUGUUACAAGAGGAAGUAGAAACCAGUGUGGCAUCACUCAUCAGUCAAUCUCGUUCCAAGUUAACAAAGAGCUUCUGGCAAGCUGCGCACCCCUUCCCCCAGCAAUGGGUGGGCCCAGAAACAUGGUAAACAGUACCACAGGCAAGGAGCAUGCGUUUUCUGCUUCUGCAAUUUCAGUCAUCUCUCUGCAGUCAAAUGAAAUGGAAAUGGAUUUAUGAUGAACAAGCCUGUACCCACAAAAUGAAGGUCUGUGGGUAAACAGUUCUUUCUUUUCUGCUCUCCAAAAGCAGGGUUAUCUCUGGGAGAGGUAAAAAUAUUUGUGAUACACAAUUAUUAAGGGAGAUAAAAUAAAGAGGAUGGAGCAAAGAUUUUAAGUGCAGGCUAUCUCAGGAGAGGAGCUUUCCUUCCAAGCUGAAUGAAGGUAACAGUAUCUAACAGCAGUUAUGCCUGGCUGCUGGGCUAUGAUCUUCCUGACUGUAAGGCCUGCUUCAUUGUGAUUAAUGCACAAGGUGCAUGAUAGCAGGAACAACCUUAUUCAAGACAAACCCUAAGCUUCUUCCAGACUAGCAGUCAGGGAAUGAAGUGCAUUCCCACACUGACCCUUCCACCUCAGUACAAGAGCUUCCUUUAUGGGUGUUUGAAUAGCUUCCUGAUUCUAUAUCAUUUUACCUCUUUCUACCACAAUGUUAGAACACAGAAAUCACAGAGCCUCCUUAAUCGAUACCCACAGAAGAAGGUUAUAUUGAAGAGAUUACGAGGAAAGUUGACGAGGGUAAAGCAGUGGAUGUUGUCUAUAUGGACUUCAAUAAGGCCUUUGACAAGGUUCUGCACGGAAGGUUAGUUAGGAAGGUUCAAUCGUUAGGUAUUAAUAUUGAAGUAGUAAAAUGGAUUCAACAGUGGCUGGAUGGAAGAUGCCAGAGAGUAGUGGUGGAUAACUGUUUGUCAGGUUGGAGGCCGGUGACUAGUGGUGUGCCUCAGGGAUCUGUACUGGGUCCAAUGUUCUUUGUCAUGUACAUUAAUGAUCUGGAUGAUGGGGUGGUAAAUUGGAUUAGUAAGUAUGCAGAUGAUACUAAGGUAGGUGGCAUUGUGGAUAAUGAAGUAGGUUUUCAAAGUUUGCAGAAAGAUUUAGGCCAGUUAGAAGAGUGGGCUGAGUGAUGGCAGAUGGGGUUUAAUGCUGAUAAGUGUGAGGUGCUACAUUUUGGUAGGAAUAAUCCAAAUAGGACAUACAUGGUAAAUGGUAGGGCAUUGAAGAAUGCAGUAGAACAGAGUGAUCUAGGAAUAAUGGUGCAUAGUUCCCUGAAGGUGGAAUCUCAUGUGGAUAGGGUGGUGAAGAAAGCUUUUGGUAUGUUGGCAUUUAUAAAUCAGAGCAUUGAGUAUAGGAGUUGGGAUGUAAUGUUAAAAUUGUACAAGGCAUUGGUAAGGCUGAAUUUGGAGUAUUGUGUACAGCUCUGGUCACCGAAUUAUAGGAAAAAUGUCAACAAAAUAGAGAGAGUACAGAGAAGAUUUACUAGAAUGUUACCUGGAUUUCAGCACCUAAGUUACAGGGAAAGAUUGAACAAGUUAGGUCUUUAUUCUUUGGAGUGUAGAAGGUUGAGGGGGGACUUGAUAGAGGUAUAUAAAAUUAUGAGGGGGAUAGAUAUUGACGUGGUCAGGCUUUUUCCAUUGAGAGUAGGGGAGAUUCAAACAAGAGGACAUGAGUUGAGAGUUAGAGGGCAAAAGUUUAAGGGUAACACGAGGGGGAAUUUCUUUACUCAGAGAUUGGUAGCUGUGUGGAACGGGCUUCCAGUAGAAGUGGUAGAGGCAGGUUCGGUAUUGUCAUUUAAAGUAAAAUUGUAUAGGUAUAUGGACAGGAAAGGAAUGGAGGUUUAUGGGCUGAGUGCAGGUAGGUGGGACUAGGUGAGAGUAAGCAUUCAGCACGGACUAGAGGGCCGAGAUGGCCUGUUUCCGUGCUGUAAUUGUUAUAUGGUUAUAUGGCAUCACAAGUGCGUAGCAUGGCAGCAUAGUGAUUAGUGGCACAUUUUACUGCUCCAGGGACCCGGAUUCAAAUCCUGCCAUUGAGUUUGUACGUUCAACCUGUGACCCCAUAGGAGCUCUGGUUUCCUCCCACAUUACAAAGAAAUAGGUUAAUUGGUCAUACUGGAUGUAAAUAGACAGCACAGGCUUAUUGUCACCAUGCUGUAUCUCCAAACAGAAACAUAAAUAUUGGGCAUCUUGGAGUUGUAAAAAAGAACAACUUGAAUAGAAAAUUGUUUUUUACUACCCAGAAAGAAGUUUAUAUUGUUGACAGCCAUUAUUAAGCUGGUUAGCAGUUGCCUGAUCAGAUCAUCAAGCAUGGUACUAUACGGGUAUAAGUGUUGAUUAUUUUCCAGAGUACCAAUAUCCUACUAAUAUAUUUUAAUGCCAGUGGAUGCACUCUGUAUUUACAUCCUUGGAUUUCUUCCAACUUUCACAAGUUUUCAGUGAACAUAAAAUAUUAUUACUAUUCUUGGUUCUGUUAUACCAAGGAAAUCUACACCCAAUACUCAAUUCAUAAAACUAUCUGCCACAUUAUGUUUACAUCAUUUACACAGCUGUACAAUGGUUGAGUUACAAUUCUCAAGGGAUGAGGUCUGCUGAACUGCAGGAUGUCAAAGGAAAAAACACUGAGAAAUAUUGCACAAUUUAAUUAAUGAUGAAAUAUAAUCCAAGCUUUCAUAUCGAAUGCAGAACAGAUGUUUGAACUUCCAGAGAAUAGGGUCAUAAAAAUGUGCUUUGUGCAGUUAAUUUAUAAGUCACUCAUUUCAAAGUUUCAGAUGCUUGUUCUCCUUGUAUGACCUCCCAGCUGGACCUUUCCAAGGGUUGAUUUGUCCUUACAUGCUAAAUAAAUAAAGCAAAUUCUAGAGUUGCUUUAUAUAGUUGUUCUCCAGCUUUGCCACGGACAGCAUGGAGCCACCUGUACCUUUUGUUGCUGUGUAACCACCUGAAUAUGUUUCUAGAAUACUUGUGUAAAUAUCACUCAAGGUGGCUAACAGAAAGACUGUUAAUGUAUAACCUGCACAUUAAAGUUGUUGAAUAUAACUCCUGCUGAUUAAUGAUGGUCACUUGGCAUUCAGAAA